UGGGAUUGUCGUAGACGGCCAACAGGUGUGCGUGGACCACUUUCCUCAGCAGCCGUCUCAGGCCGCAGGACGCUUGUCUAUCCAAGGAAGUGGUUCCUCCUUCAUUCAGAAGAUUAUGGACUAUUCAAAACGAUCAAAGCACCUCAGAUUUAUCAUUUUUCCUGACGCCAUGCAGUUUUUGAAUUUGUCACUAAAUAUCGGAGGGUGAGCAGAGGAAGAUGCAGGUCGGGAGGUUACAGCAAACCAGCAACAUCUGCAGCAUGAUGGAGUGAUGACACUGAAGUCCCACUGAGCAAAAACAGGACUCCAUCCCAUAAAAAUCGUGGAAAAUCACGGACAUUGCACUGUUCUAACUUCAGUGAAGCACGUACUUCAGUGAGGAAGUGGAGAGCAAUUUGUCUGCAUGGUUUAACCCUUUAACCCCGACAGAGGACAACAACACGGGUUUACUGCAUAAAUAGGGAAUAUAACUUCAAAUUAACUCCGAAACACUUGAAUUGUCAUGCUUUGCACCUUCUGGACCAAACUUCAUGGACUUUGUGGAUGAGAACUGUGCAUGUUUGACAUGCAAAGAGACAUUUGGAUGGACAUUUACAUAAAUAUGGAAUGGAUUGAGCCAACAUGCUCCCCGUCGAAGAACAUCCAAGAGUUGCACAUCCGUUCUGCCCGGCUCGUUCAGGAACACAACAAAGAAGGGAGGUCCACGCAGCAGCCAUUUAAGACGUCCCUGCCUGUUGAUGCUUCAGAGAGAUCAUCUGUCAGUCAAACAAUGUGUUUUUGUUUGGAUCCUCUGCAGUAACGCGCUGUGAGACCUCAGGCCAGG